AUCAGGUUUUCCCGGGGCACGGAGGAGAUUCUCUGAACAACUCCGGGGGAAUGUUGAGAGACCCCUGGUCCGGGUUUGGGGGGGGGGGGGCGGACAGCAGCGUUCCGAAGGCCCAGGGCUAUUUGUUACUGACCCCACUUGACGGAAGGGGAAACCGAGCCUCCACAGGAGUGUGAUCAGGGCGGCCAGGCCUCUGCACCCCCGGGCCACCUCACGCCACGUCCAUCGUUAAAAGGCGUCUCGGGGCCUCCCCGCUGUGCCCGUGACAGACCCCAAAGGAGGAUCUUGCGGUGGAGGUUGUCGCUGGGGGGCGUCCGAGGCAGAGUCCAGCCAGGCCCUUCCUUCCAGGGGGCAAGCAGAGCAGAAAGAGCUCGGCUGGGCCGCCCCGAGGCCCUCUGGGUAAAGGCCGGCCGCAGUCCCCAGGGGCCUCCCCUCCCCCCAGCCAGGCUCCACAGCCCGGGAUCCCUCUCCCUCCCGCCAUCCGCCAUCCCCGGCUCCGGCUGGCCCCGCCCGCCCACUUGGCUGGUCCGGGAGGCACGUGCCCCGCCCCGCCCCGCCCAGCCCCCACGCCCAUCUCCGGCGGCACCCUCGCUUUCCCAGGGGGCGCUGGGCGGGGUGAAUGUAAACUGCUUGGAGCGCCUGCCUGGCCGGGUGAGCCUGCACAAGUCACUUGUCCCCGGCGCACCAGGCCAGGCCGCUCCUUCCCCACCCUGCGGGCAAAGAGGAAAGAGCCCGCGGCCGGGGGCGGGGCGCCGCAGGGAGCCUGGGCCCUCGGCUUCCCAGACCCAGACCGUGAAGCGGAACAUCCACACACACCAGCCACAAGGAGCUCGCCGCCCCCAGACGUCACGCACGCACGCACGCUCCGAAGGCAGCGUGGUCGUCACCAUGGUCACCAAGAAGCUUCGCACCCAAGACUGGCCGUGAGGCCAGGCGCAUGCGCAAGACAACCUCUAUUCCCCGGGCCACGCUCCCGCACACGUGUGCGCGGAAGCGGCCGUCCACAGAAGACUGAGCCGCGACACGAACCGCCAAGCUCUCCUCCAAGGAAGCGCUGUGGAAAAGCUCUCCCUGGCUCACCUGUCUCCGUCACGCUCACACUCACCUCCGGCCAGGGAACCGCGAGCCUCUAUGGCGCACCUAGGAAAGGAAAGCCGGGACUCGGAGGGAACACGAGGUCAUCCCUUCGCCAAUCAGGCACGAAGCGUCCCGUUUCUAUGGCAACUUCCGGGGGUUACAUACACUAACCAAUAGAAAGGCGAGAAAAGCAAGCUGCCCCGCCCUCCUACUGCUCCCCGCUCCACGUAGGCGGAGCCCAGAGCCAGACGCGUGUAGAGGGCCGGGCUGACCCCAUAGCAACCACGCUACUUAGCGCGGUUAUUCCUUCACUACAGCGACCACCUUGCGAUGCUCCCCCGGGACCGGCAUCUCCACGCGCCCCGUUAGCACCCCUCCUCCCCUGCGGCCCUUCCCGCGCCUCGGUUUACCCAACAGGGAGCACGGGGUAGGACUGCAGGUCUCUGCUCCGUCCCUCUGGGAAAAGCAUUACUAGGCCCCGCGCUCCGCCCCGGAACCCUGCGGAGGCCCUUCCAGGAUUCCGCCGAGCGCCAUCCCCCCACCCUGCCGAGAAGGGGCGGGGCUCCUCCUGGAGCUCACGUGCUCCCCCCGGCCGAAGCCUUCUCAGUUCCGGUCAGGGCGCGUUUGCUGGGGAGGGAAGGGACUUAGAAGCACCCAGGGGAGCCGGCCAUGGGCCCAGGACCGCGGCUCGGGCUCCGACUCCGGGCUGGCCGCUGCCCCAUCUGCCCUGACACCCGAGAGUCCUUUCUUUCUGCCCCGGGGCUAGAGGGCGCCACUGGGGGGACAGGCCGGCUUCCUCCCGACUGCCUGAAGCUGCCCCUUCCCCUUGGUUACUCCCUCCCAGCCUGGGGCCCCGGAGGCAGGCACUCGCCCCCCUGCCAUCCCCAUUUUACAGCUGGGCACACUGAGGCAGGCAGCCCCAAUUCCUAACAUUUGGGCUUAGAGAAGGGCCCCUAAUGUCGCUGGGGAUUGGAAGCCAGCCUGGCCUGGGCCUGGGGCUGCUGCGGAGAUCUCCAAUUGUUGACCUCCCACGCGGGGCAUCCUGGGGAGGAAGAAACCCAGGAGGCCUGGGGGUCCGGUGACUUGCCCAAGGCCACACAGCAGGAAGUGCAUCUUAUUAGGGGCCAGGACUGUGCCAGGACUGUGCCAGUGCUGAGCCGGAAAGACCUCCAGGGCUUUCAGGAAGCCCCCAGGGCGGGAGCUGGGCCAAUCCUGGCUGAGGCUUUGUCCACCCAGAGGGCAGAUGGAAGGGGCUGGGGUCAGGGGUCUGGACAGCUGUCAUGGAGACAAAGGGGUGCAGCAGCUGGCCGGAAGCCCCAGGGAGGCCUCUGGGUAAAGGCAGCGGCUUGGUGGCCAGAAUCCUUUCCCAGGACGAGGCCCAAACAGACAGCUCCCAAGGCUCCUUCUGCCCCCCAAAUGCCAGGCCUUCCCCCGUGUGGGCCCCAGGGUGCCAAGGAGGGGGUGAGGUGGCCCCACCAGGGGCACUGCAGGAGCCUCAGGCUCCCCACCUGUGAGAUGGGGAGAAAGGCCGGCAGCCAACCCCAGCCCCUCCUUGGGCCCACUCCCCCAUGCUGGGUGUCCUUGGUGGGCCAGAGAGAACCUUGGGGAAAGCCCCGACCCACCUGCUUCCCUUCCAAAGGCUUCAUCUGGAGGCCAGGAAGCCCCUCCUACAGUCCAGGGCCAGGCUGGGGAGCCUCCAGGAGGUUUGGGGGGGAUCCGAAGCGGGGAGUGUGGUCCUCUUUGGGCUGGAUUCUCCCUGGCCAUGGCCGUGGGCAUCCCGCUGAGAGAAGAGAUGACUGAGGGCUGUGGGGCCUCAGCUCUUGGCCCUGGAGAGUGUGAAAGGCCAUUCUGGGUUCUCUUUGUCUCUUCUGGGUUGCCUCUGCCUCGUUGGAGCUAACACUCUGGUAGCACUCACUUAAGUACCUCCCUGGAGUGUGAGGCCAGGAUUCCCUCUCCUUUGUCUACUUUGAAUCAAUUGCCACAAGCUAGUCUACUGUCAAACUGGGCGACAGCUAAGCCAGGCAGGGCUGGACAGGUUGGAAGCUGUGAUUGGCCUGUAGUCCCUGGGCUGGGGCAGGCUGCUGAAGGGGAGUCUCCUGGAGAUAGUCUCCAAGGGAGGGAGUGUGUGAAAGGCCGACUCCUUUCCUAGCUUCUGGAGAGACUAGCUUCUACCCUGGAGGAGGCCGUGCGGUGACUGGGACUCCUGUAGGUAAUUUCUCUAACCUCUCACAGUUCCCUGCCUUAGUGUUUCCCCUCUAGUUUGGGAAAUAAACUUCUGGCUUGAGAUAUUUCA
ensembl:lncRNA